CAGGGCGUGUUGUCGAAGAGUGCAAAUUGAGAGUGGUAUAUCUUCCUCCACCCCAACCACCUUCACCCGUUCUUGAAGAUCCCACUGAAGGGGCGGCUUCACCCAAAGUGUCAUUUAACAGUGAGAAUUUAAAUGGACCCGAGGUUACAAGACAAAUUAUGAAUUUUGAUGAUAAAUCCUUUAAGGUGAGUUGAUGUGUGUGGACCGAAAGAAACGGGCCCACCUUAGAUUUCAGAAUCUUAACAUCUAAUAUUCGUAUGCUAUGUUGAAGCAACUUUUUAAUAUAAACUCAGCAGCACGUUUUAUCACAGAUACGUUUGUUACGGAUUAUUGAAAUAGUUAUUCUUCAAUCUACAACCAGAACUGAUUUAGAGGUGGCAAAGUGCAUGGGUUGUGUGGGGGGACUGAGUAACUGGUCAAAACGGGUUCGGGUCAUCCAGAGAAUUUUUAGUAUGGGUCCUUUGGGUUUGGCGGACAUAUAUCACUCUUUGUUCAAGAUUUUUAAAUUUGUUAUAAACAUUUAGUGUGCCAAAUAUUUGCUACCAAUGUUAUAUGUGUGACCAAAAAUUUGUUAUUUUAAUAUACUUUUAUA